rnacentral:rRNA from 1 species
GGCAUGGCGGGGGGCUACCAUGCAGUCGAGCGGAUGAAGGGAGCUUGCUCCUGGAUUCAGCGGCGGACGGGUGAGUAAUGCCUAGGAAUCUGCCUGGUAGUGGGGGAUAACGUCCGGAAACGGGCGCUAAUACCGCAUACGUCCUGAGGGAGAAAGUGGGGGAUCUUCGGACCUCACGCUAUCAGAUGAGCCUAGGUCGGAUUAGCUAGUUGGUGGGGUAAAGGCCUACCAAGGCGACGAUCCGUAACUGGUCUGAGAGGAUGAUCAGUCACACUGGAACUGAGACACGGUCCAGACUCCUACGGGAGGCAGCAGUGGGGAAUAUUGGACAAUGGGCGAAAGCCUGAUCCAGCCAUGCCGCGUGUGUGAAGAAGGUCUUCGGAUUGUAAAGCACUUUAAGUUGGGAGGAAGGGCAGUAAGUUAAUACCUUGCUGUUUUGACGUUACCAACAGAAUAAGCACCGGCUAACUUCGUGCCAGCAGCGGCCGGUAAUA